AGAAAAGUAGGUGCCGCCCCGCACAGGGGCGACGUUUGAAGCGAGACGACAAAGCAGGUUCAACGAAGGCGCUUGAUGACCAAAGUACCCACAGUCAUCA
rnacentral:sRNA from 1 species